AACUCGACUACAUGAAGCUGGAAUCGCUAGUAAUCGCGAAUCAGCAUGUCGCGGUGAAUACGUUCCCGGGUCUUGUACACACCGCCCGUCAAGCCAUGGGAGCCGGGGGUGCCUGAAGUUCGUGACCGCAAGGAGCGACCUAGGGCAAAACUGGUGACUGGGGCUAAGUCGUAACAAGGUAAC
rnacentral:rRNA from 1 species